CCACCAGGAGACAAAGUCAGAUUUAAAGCCCAGGUCUCCACCGCUGUAGUCCACAGAGUGAUCUGGUAUCAGUACCAGAUGUCCUUCCUGACGCAAAUAAAACCUAGGAUUUGAGGUCAAGGUAGAAAAACCCAGAAUCCUCUAGUAGCUGCAGUCCAAUCAUUUCAUUUAGUCGUGUAUUUUUUUUUAGGGAUGUCCAAUAAUAUCAGCCGACUGAUGAUACUGUAAGAGAACGUCUGUCCAAUCCUCUCCAUAUGUGGACAGGUUCAAAGAAGAACAUUAGGAAUUUUGCCGACAUCAUCUUACCCUGGAGCCGCUCAGCAUUGCUUGUGGUCCAGUUUUCCCAUCAAACCCUGAGGCCAUUUGGGACAUCAGACCCUGCAGCACAAGGGAACUGUUCCCAGUGGAACUCACUCCUGGUGAUCCUGAAUGUGUUGGAUGUCCUGGAGGUCCAGGUUCACCGGGCUGACCAGGCACACCAGGCUCUCCAUCGUAACCCGCGGUACCCCGCAGUCCCUACAGAGACGGAGACAAAUGAAAGUUGUGGCGGUGACGUACGGGCCGGCCUUUGUUUCCACGUGGUCCUCGUUCUCCUGGAGAGCCGGGUGGUCCCUGUAGUAAUCAACGAGGACAGACAACAGUCAGGUACAAUAAUACACAGUAGUACAUGUGCUGUACCAUGUUCUUUAUAAUGUGGU